UAGCGUAUCGUUUGACGUUAGCGACAGAAGAAAGCACCGGCUAACUCCGUGCCAGCAGCCGCGGUAAUACGGAGGGUGCGAGCGUUAAUCGGAAUUACUGGGCGUAAAGCGCAUGCAGGUGGUUUGUUAAGUCAGAUGUGAAAGACCCGGGGCGUCAACCUCGGAAUAGCAUUUGAAACUAGGCAGACUAGAGUACUGUAGAGGGGGGUAGGAAUUUCAGGUGUAGCGGUGAAAUGCGUAGAGAUCUGAAGGAAUACCGGUGGCGAAGGCGGCCCCCUCGGACAGAUACUGACACUCAGAUGCGAAAGCGUGGGGAGCAAACAGGAUUAGAUACCCUGGUAG
rnacentral:rRNA from 1 species